CCGGCUGAGGGGAGGAGCCGAGCGAGCGGCGGGUGUCCCUGAGAGGCCACCUUUCGACCUUCGAGGGCCAGGAGGAUACGGGGAGGUGGCCGGAGGGAGUUCCCGAACACAGGUCUUCCUGUUCCCGCCGAGCAGGUGUUGGCGGUGCCAGGCCCGGCCUGGCGGGCCCGGGCUGGCAGCCAAAUACCCAGCGUCUGUGCUCGGGACGGGAGUGUUCGUCCAGGACGUGCAGCUCCGGAGCCUGCGCGGGCGACCUUGACCACCUUUGUCGGCUGUUUCCCCCUGAGGGAAGUAUACCUGUCCUGCCAGCCUUGGUCUCUGGCAGGGAAGGUCCUUCCAACAGAGAGGGAAUUGCUUAGAAUUGACUCAACACUGCCUCCUUGCUGAAUGGAUAAUUCAAGCAAACAACUCAAGAGCUGGAUGCUGCCCAGACAGAAGUCCUCCUAGCAUCUUUCUUCUGCCUUCCCCUGCUCCUGUCCCUGAAACCUUUUCUUCAAAAGAAGUGGAAAAGAGGAACUGGGAACCCAUAUAGCAACAGCAUCACCUGGAAUGAAUUCCUUUAGAACAUACUGUCUUGGAAAUCUGAAGCCUGCAGGGCUGGACAGGCAAGAAGAGCAGUGAGCACUGCAUGAACCUUUCUCUCCUUCCCUCCCUUACGUAUGACUCCUCCCAUAAUCCGCACACAUGGAUUGAACCAAGUGAGGGUAUUUUUCUGUUUCCUACCUCAUAGAAGGGCAUAGAGUGGACACGGUCUAAGCAGCCUUCUCCAAAGAAACAGAAAGAAGGAAAUGGAUUGCCUUAGCAAAAAAACAAAUGAAGACACUCCAAAUAACAGAAGAAUGGGAAGGCUACAGACCUUGAAGUCAGAAGAAAAUUUCCUCUCCUUGCCCCGUUUCUCCUUAAAUGGAUCACCAGUACAGUCUCUUACUUCUAGAGCCAUGUUAAGCUUUCUUCCCCAAAGUUGUAAUGUCCUUCUUUUGGUUGUGUCGUGUCCUAAAAUCCUACUCUUUGGUACAAGAUGAAGGUAUAUGAAGAGAUAAUGAAGGAAACAAAUUCAAUGUGUUUGCCAAGAACACAGUCUUUUAAAUAACUCUUAAAGGGUUCGUUUAAAACAGUGUAAUAAAUUGUGGUAAUCUAGUACACAAAGCUAGUAGGAACCUCGUUUAUUAAUAAUAUUUCAACAUUGAGCAGUAGAGGGCAGCACUAUCCUUCUUUUGCAAAAUGUUGAGCACUCUUGAGAAGGAAAAUAAAGGCAAAGCUCCUGA
rnacentral:lncRNA from 1 species